rnacentral:misc_RNA from 1 species
GGAAGUAAAAGUCGUAACAAGAUUUCCGUAGGUGAACUUGCGGAAGGAUCAUUCAUAAUAAAGUGUUUUAUGGCACUUUUUAAAAAUCCAUAUCCACCUUGUGUGCAAUGUUAGAUCUCGUCAAUCUUGGCGAGAUUUUUAUACAUCAACUCAUUCUUUAACUAAUUUGUCUGAAAAAUAUUAUGAAUACUUAAUUCAAAAUACAACUUUCAACAACGGAUCUCUUGGCUCUC